AGGGCGCAUGAGUUCGUGGGAUCAGACCCGAAACCAGGUGAUCUAGCCAUGAGCAGGAUGAAGGUUGGGUAACACCAACUGGAGGUCCGAACCAACACCCGUUGAAAAGGGUCUGGAUGACUUGUGGCUAGGGGUGAAAGGCUAAUCAAACCUGGAGAUAGCUGGUUCUCCGCGAAAGCUAUUUAGGUAGCGCCUCGGACGAAUACCAUCGGGGGGUAGAGCACUGCAUGGAUGAUGGGGGCCCACAGCCUUACUGAGUCUAAGCAAACUCCGAAUACCGAUGAGUACUAUCCGGGAGACACACGGUGGGUGCUAACGUCCAUCGUGAAGAGGGAAACAACCCUGACCUGCAGCUAAGGCCCCUAAUUCAUGGCUAAGUGGGAAAGCAUGUGGGACGGCCAAAACAACCAGGAUGUUGGCUUAGAAGCAGCCAUCAUUAAGAUAGCGUAACAGCUCACUGGUCUAGAUAAGCUGUCCUGC
rnacentral:rRNA from 1 species